rnacentral:pre_miRNA from 1 species
GUGAUAUUGGUUCGGCUCGUCGUCUUCUUCUUCAUUUUAUCAAGAAAUGGAUCCUGGCUAGUUAUGGAAGAUCCAGUAGAAGAUGAGCCGUGCCAAUAUCACG